rnacentral:misc_RNA from 1 species
GAUGAAGAACGUAGCGAAAUGCGAUAAGUAGUGUGAAUUGCAGAAUUCAGUGAAUCAUCGAACCUUUGAACGCACAUUGCGCCUUCUAGUAUUCUGGGAGGCAUGCCUGUUUGAGCGUCAUUAAACCUCUCUCAAGUAUGAUUACUUGGAUGUGAAGGAAGAGUACCUUAAACUUAAGGAGUGUUCUCCUUUGAAAUUGAUUAGCAGAUGGUAAUGUUAUUAAAUCCCUGAUGUUGUAAGAAAUAACAGUGGUUUUGUAGACUAUUAUCUAGCUUUAAAUUAUAAUUUUAUUAUGGUUGACCUCAAAUCAGGUAAGGAUACCCGCUGAACUUAAGCAUAUCAAUAAGCGGAGGA